GCCUUCGUAGUGUAGUGGUCAGCACCCUCAACUCGUAGCCGAAAGGUCCGUAGUUCGAUUCCCGGCGAAGGCG
rfam:Stegodyphus mimosarum contig121607, whole genome shotgun sequence.